CGAACGAUGAACCUCACUUUCGGGAGGGGAUUAGUGGCGAACGGGUGAGUAACACGUGGGCAAUCUGCCCUGCACUCUGGGACAAGCCCUGGAAACGGGGUCUAAUACCGGAUACGAGUUUCACAGGCAUCUGUGAUUCUGGAAAGCUCCGGCGGUGCAGGAUGAGCCCGCGGCCUAUCAGCUUGUUGGUGAGGUAACGGCUCACCAAGGCGACGACGGGUAGCCGGCCUGAGAGGGCGACCGGCCACACUGGGACUGAGACACGGCCCAGACUCCUACGGGAGGCAGCAGUGGGGAAUAUUGCACAAUGGGCGCAAGCCUGAUGCAGCGACGCCGCGUGAGGGAUGACGGCCUUCGGGUUGUAAACCUCUUUCAGCAGGGAAGAAGCGAAAGUGACGGUACCUGCAGAAGAAGCGCCGGCUAACUACGUGCCAGCAGCCGCGGUAAUACGUAGGGCGCAAGCGUUGUCCGGAAUUAUUGGGCGUAAAGAGCUCGUAGGCGGCUUGUCGCGUCGGAUGUGAAAGCCCGGGGCUUAACCCCGGGUCUGCAUUCGAUACGGGCAGGCUAGAGUUCGGUAGGGGAGAUCGGAAUUCCUGGUGUAGCGGUGAAAUGCGCAGAUAUCAGGAGGAACACCGGUGGCGAAGGCGGAUCUCUGGGCCGAUACUGACGCUGAGGAGCGAAAGCGUGGGGAGCGAACAGGAUUAGAUACCCUGGUAGUCCACGCCGUAAACGGUGGGCACUAGGUGUGGGCAACAUUCCACGUUGUCCGUGCCGCAGCUAACGCAUUAAGUGCCCCGCCUGGGGAGUACGGCC
rnacentral:rRNA from 1 species